rnacentral:rRNA from 1 species
GACGAGGGGUGCAAACGUUAUUCGAAAUCACUGGGUGUAAAGGGUGCGUAGACGGCUUAUCAAGCUCACUGUUAAAUCCUCCGGCCUAACCGGAGAUCAGCGGCGGGAACUGGUAGGAUAGAGUAUGGAAGAGAGAAGUGGAAUUCCCGGAGUAGCGGUGGAAUGCGUAGAUCUCGGGAGGAACACCAAUGGCGUAGGCAGCUUCUUGGUCCAUUACUGACGUUGAGGCACGAAAGCGUGGGGAGCAAACAGGAUUAGAUACCCCAGUA